UUACUACUCCCGUCGUCCGGAAAUAUUUGUCCUAUAUAAAUAGAUAAAAUGAAUGUAUUUAUAACUAAAAUAAGUAUGGAUGCAUCCAUUUUUAGGACAAGUAUUUUUGGAUGAAGAGAGUAGAUG
rnacentral:pre_miRNA from 1 species